rnacentral:rRNA from 1 species
AGGUGCGAUCAUACCUGCACUAAUGCACCGGAUCCCAUCAGAACUCCGCAGUUAAGCGUGCUUGGGCGAGAGUAGUACUAGGAUGGGUGACCUCCUGGGAAGUCCUCGUGUUGCGCCUC